rnacentral:lncRNA from 1 species
GUGUCAUGGGUGCAGAACAAAGAUCUUUGCAUAUGGAUCCCUCUUCACUGUAUAGCCAAGGAAUUAUGCAGGCAAAAUCUGGAUUAAGUGGCGCUGGUAAGCAACUGCUUUGGAAAAUUCAUAAAAUGAUUUUGUCUUGCACAUGUCCUUUCAAUUAUAUAACAAUUGUUCAUAUAUAAAUCAUGAAAGUUUGGCAAUCUUGGAUUUUCAAAUAUUGCAUGAAGGGACUAUAUAUCAUUUCUUUUGUAUGCAUUUAUGUAUUCAAAACAUAUGUUACAAACCAUGUGCCAAUCAAAAUCACUUCAAUAAUAAUUUCUUUUGUAUACAUAUCAUUUCUUUUGUUUUAAUUUGGUAUUUUGUUAUAUUUGAAAUCAAAAUCACUUUAUUAUAAUCAAUAUUGAUUGUAUUAGCCAAGAAUAUAUGAGAGAAUACUAAAUCAAGUUUUUUUAUUUUUCUGGUGUACCAUGUGCCAAUAUGCCAUACACGUUGGACCUGUACUGGUCAGGGCGGGGCAUGGAUUAAUACAAGCCCAGUACCUGAAAUUUGAUUCCAUGGUAACAAAUAUCUAAAAUCUGCAACUUGCAUUUACUUGC